GCAAGUCGAACGAGAAAUUUCCGCUUCGGCGGAAAGAGUACAGUGGCGCACGGGUGAGUAACGCGUGGGUAACCUGCCUUUGAAUCUAGAAUAACCCCGUGAAAACGGGACUAAUACUAGAUAAUGUCCUUUUGGCUCUGGCCUUAGGGAUGAAAGGUGACCUCUUCAUGAAAGUUGCCGUUCAAAGAGGGGCCCGCGUACCAUUAGCUUGUUGGUGGGGUAAUGGCCUACCAAGGCUACGAUGGUUAGCUGGUCUGAGAGGAUGAUC
rnacentral:rRNA from 1 species